AUUGCCUCAGUAACGGCGAGUGAAGCGGCAACAGCUCAAAUUUUAAAGCCGGCGCCCUCGGCGUCCGCGUUGUAAUUUGGAGAGGCAGCUUCGGUUAGGGCGCCAGCCUAUGUUCCUUGGAACAGGACGUCACAGAGGGUGAGAAUCCCGUGCCUGGCUGGCUGUCCCUUCCCAUGUGAAGCGCCUUCAACGAGUCGAGUUGUUUGGGAAUGCAGCUCAAAAUGGGUGGUAAAUUUCAUCUAAAGCUAAAUAUUGGCGGGAGACCGAUAGCGCACAAGUAGAGUGAUCGAAAGAUGAAAAGCACUUUGAAAAUAGAGUUAAAAAGUACGUGAAAUUGUUGAAAGGGAAGCGCUUGAGACCAGACUCGGCCUGUGGAUGAUCACCCGUUCCUUCUGGGCGGUGCACUUGUCUCGGGCCGGGCCAGCAUCKGUUGAGGCGGCGGKAGAAAGGUCUCGGGAAUGUGGCUCCCCUCGGGGAGUGUUAUAKCCCGGAACGCAAUGCCGUCAGCCUCGACCGAGGACCGCGCCUUUGUGCUAGGAUGCUGGCGUAAUGGUCU
rnacentral:rRNA from 1 species